rnacentral:pre_miRNA from 1 species
UUUGUACUCCCUCCGUCCCAAAAUUCUUGUCUUAAAUUUUUCUAAAUACGAAUGUAUCUAGUUACAUUUUAGUGUUAGAUACAUCCAUAUCUAAACAAAUGUAAGACAAGAAUUUUGGGACGGAGGGAAUACUAC